AUUGAACGCUGGCGGCAGGCCUAACACAUGCAAGUCGAGCGGAUGAAGGUAGCUUGCUCCUGUAUUCAGCUUCGGACUGGUGAGUAAUGCCUAUGAAUCUGCCUGGUAGUGGUUUAUAACGUCCUGUAACGGGCGCUAAUACCGCAUACUUCCUUAGUGAUAAAUUUGUGGUUCUUCUGACCUCACGCUAUCAUAUGUUCCUAGGUCGGAUUAGCUAGUUGGUGGGGUAAAGGCCUACCAAGGCGACGAUCCGUAACUGGUCUGAGAGGAUGAUCAGUCAAACUGGAACUGAGAAACGGAAAAGAAGAAGACGGGAGGAAGCAGAGGGGAAUAUUGGACAAUGGGCGAAAGCAUGAUAAAGCAAAGCAGAGUGUGUGAAGAAGGUCUUAGGAUUGUAAAGAAAGUUAAGUUGGGAGGAAGGGAAGUAAGUUAAUAAAUUGAUGUAUUGACGUUAACAAAAGAAUAAGCAACGGCUAACUACGUG
rnacentral:rRNA from 1 species